UAGGGAAUAUUGCACAAUGGGCGAAAGCCUGAUGCAGCAACGCCGCGUGCGCGAUGACGGCCUUCGGGUUGUAAAGCGCUUUUCGGGGAGAUGAGGAAGGACAGUAUCCCCGGAAUAAGGCUCGGCUAACUACGUGCCAGCAGCCGCGGUAACACGUAGGAGCCAAGCGUUAUCCGAAUUCACUGGGCGUAAAGCGCGUGUAGGCGGCUUGGUAAGUUGGAUGUGAAAGCUCCUGGCUCAACUGGGAGAGGACGUUCAAUACUGCCGGGCUAGAGGGCGACAGAGGGAGGUGGAAUUCCCGGUGUAGUGGUGAAAUGCGUAGAUAUCGGGAGGAACACCAGUGGCGAAAGCGGCCGCCUGGGUCGCACCUGACGCUCAGACGCGAAAGCUAGGG
rnacentral:rRNA from 1 species